AUUGAACGCUGGCGGCAUGCCUUACACAUGCAAGUCGAACGGUAACGGGCCUUCGGGUGCCGACGAGUGGCGAACGGGUGAGUAAUGCAUCGGAACGUACCUUUCAGUGGGGGAUAACGUAGCGAAAGUUACGCCAAUACCGCAUAUUCUGUGAGCAGGAAAGCAGGGGAUCGCAAGACCUUGCGCUGAUUGAGCGGCCGAUGUCAGAUUAGCUAGUUGGUGAGGUAAAGGCUCACCAAGGCGACGAUCUGUAGCGGGUCUGAGAGGAUGAUCCGCCACACUGGGACUGGGCCACGGCCCAGACUCCUACGGGAGGCAGCAGUGGGGAAUUUUGGACAAUGGGGGCAACCCUGAGCCAGCCAUGCCGCGUGAGUGAAGAAGGCCUUCGGGUUGUAAAGCUCUUUCGGCCGGGAAGAAAUCGCACGGGCUAAUACCCUGUGUGGAUGACGGUACCGGAAUAAGAAGCACCGGCUAACUACGUGCCAGCCGCCGCGGUAAGAC
rnacentral:rRNA from 1 species